UAUUACAUUGCUCUGCUAGUCUUUACACCACGGACACUUGACAAUGACAUAAUAGUUGCAGAAAAUGAUUAAUAAAUGUUAAUUUAAAAAAACGGAUAUUGGAUAAUUCCUCAUGGAACACUAUUGUGCCGCGGGACGGUGGUUGAACUGGUCUAUCUAUUUAACGAGAAUGUUCUGUUGCUCCUACUGAUAAAACCGCUAGCUAAAGAUUCUCCAUACGACACCGCUGUUCUGCUGUUUUAAGGAACUAGUGCAAAGGGCUUUGGUAUUUUUAACCAAAGAUUCAUUAUAUGAGAGUGUGAUAUAUUGUUUGUGUUGCAAUGUGUUUAUUAAAAAGGGUUACAUCUAUUUAAAAUUGCUUUACAAUUCACUCUGAAUCAGUUAAUCGGGGAUCGAUUGUCUAUGUCUGGCGGCGGCACUCCAUUCUGGAUGAGGAUGCUAGAGGGAGACAUCGUUUCCGACCAUUCUUAUUCACAUAUUUCCCCCUUUUUCAGGCUGUCCUCCUGUGCCGUGUUGCGUUCAAGGUGACAUUAGGCCCAAUCCGGACGACGUGUACCUGAAUGGCAUUAGUGACGUUCCAUCCAGCCUCCCACGACGUGAUUUUGGGCUUGUCCUCGUCCAGGGAUCCCCCGGUCUUAAGUGACGCGGACCUGGGUCCGGUUCCGUCCCUCUGGUAGUGGCUGUCCCCGGCCUCGAGGCCUCCUUCACCGCCGCCGCCGCCACCGUCAUCAUCGUCCCCUCCUUGGAAGGUGUCCAUUUGCAUGCCUUGCCUGUAGUCAUAAUCCAGGUCGUCGCACUCCGCGAAGCCCACGCCCUCUUCGUCCGUGGCGGCCUGGAAGCCGAGGCGGGCGAACACGCCGCUGACCUUGGCCUGGGACUUGUUGGAGACCGUGUGGGCCGCGUUGGUCAGCUUGUUGGUCAGCUUGUGUCGGAUCAGGGUCGUGGGGGUGCUGGGUGCCCAGCUGUCUUCGGGCAAGAGGCGGGGUACACCCUGGACUGGUCGACAGUCAGCCAAUCACAGGGCACUUAUAGACAAACAACCAUUCACACUCACAUUCAUACCUAUGGACAAUUUGGAGUCGGCAAUUAACUUAGCAUGUUUUUGGAAUGUGGGAGGAAAUCGGAGCACCCG